rnacentral:sRNA from 1 species
AGAACCUUUUCAUCUUGCAAGGCUGUAACUCUAUACUCAUUGAACAACAAUUCCUCUUUUACUCUCACCCCCAGGCUCUGGAGUGACCAACCUCGCAUAACCAAAGAUGUGAUUUGUUUUCAUGCUGAGGAUUUUACUGAUGUUGUACAAAGACUUCAGUUAGAUCUUCAUGAACCUCCAGUUUCCCAGUGCGUACAGUGGGUAGAUGAAGCUAAACUAAACCAAAUGAGGCGGGAAGGCAUUCGUUAUGCUAGAAUUCAGCUUUGCGACAAUGAUAUCUACUUCAUCCCUAGAAAUGUCAUUCAUCAGUUCAAAACAGUUUCGGCAGUGUGCAGCUUAGCCUGGCAUAUAAGGCUUAAACAGUACCACCCUGUUGUGGAAGCCACUCAAAACACAGAAAGCAAUUCUAACAUGGACUGUGGUUUAACUGGAAAGCGAGAAUUAGAAGUUGACUCCCAAUGUGUGAGGAUAAAAACUGAAUCUGAAGAAACAUGCACA